UGGCGGCAGGUCGGUGGGUGUCCUCCGCCUCAUUUCCUGCCCAGCGGAGUGAAGAAUCCAACAGCAGUGGAAAAUAACCUCCCUUUCUCAGUAGACCCCUGCGGGCUCUCUGCUCAGAUUGCUUGAUCCAUUUUCUGGUCUACACGUUUUGCGGUCUUCUGCUGCGCACGUGCGGCUUCUCUCCAGAUUGUGCGAGCGCUGUCAGUGUUGUGGUCUUGGUGAUGGAUGGAGGUUGCCGCGCAGCUCCGGGCAGCACCGGGCUACUCAUUAACCUAUGUUUCGAAGAAGAAUGCUGAGUGUGUGCCAAGUUGACCACAGCAGAUGGAG